GGUGUGAGAAAAAGAGAGGAAGAAAAUAAAAGAAGGGGUUCUUCUCUAGGGUUUUUCUUAGUUCUCUUUGAGUGUAUCUUUGAGAGAAAAGAGAGAGGAGUCUCUCUUUAUCAUCCUCUACAUCUGUCAUCCUCCUCCAGUUUCUCUUCAGAGAUCUAAGAGAGUCUGAGAGAUCUGAAGAAGAAAUCAGAAUCAACCAUUAGG
rnacentral:lncRNA from 1 species